rnacentral:rRNA from 1 species
GGUUUGACGGUACCUAUAAAGGAAGCACCGGCUAACUCCGUGCCAGCAGCCGCGGUAAUACGGGGGGUGCAAGCGUUGUUCGGAAUUAUUGGGCGUAAAGCGCGUGUAGGCGGUCUGAUUAGUCUGAUGUGAAAGCCCUGGGCUCAACCCAGGAAGUGCAUUGGAUACUGUCAGACUUGAAUACGGGAGAGGGUAGUGGAAUUCCUAGUGUAGGAGUGAAAUCCGUAGAUAUUAGGAGGAACACCGGUGGCGAAGGCGGCUACCUGGACCGAUAUUGACGCUGAGACGCGAAAGCGUGGGUAGCAAACAGGAUUAGAUACCCUGGUAGUCCACGCCGUAAACGAUGAGAACUAGGUGUUGCGGGUA